CUUUCUCCCUCUCAGCCUGCCUCCGUCGCCCCCCCCCCCCCCCCCCCCCGCUGCUCGCUCCCGCGGGAUCUAUAUCGAGAACCAUCGCAGGGUGCGGCAUCGACGCCGGCGCCCCGGAACGCAUCACCGCCGCCGCCCAGGUCCGCUCCGUUCCCUGCAUCGGCCGCUGCUCCUUCCCCGGUGUCGGCGAAGGCGUCUCCACUUCUCUGUUCGGGCGUCGCAGCUCCACGGCUUGUUGCUGGCAUCGUUGCGACGGGAGUUGGGAUCACGAACUGGCGGCGCAGCUUCACUGUUUCAUGCUUUCAGGUGAUUUGCCAGGGAGUUCUUUGCCAUCGCCGGCCAUCCCUGGUCCCAGACUUUGGUGCUGCUAUUUCAGGUGAUUUGCCAGGGAGUUCUUGAAGAGUUAGACCUGGCAACCAUCAUUCUUGUGCAAUUACUGGUAAGAGAAAAUAAUUAGAUUAUAUAGUUUGAUUCAACAGAAAAGAGGGUGCUACCUUCUAUUACCUUCUAUUACCAAAAACUUUUACUGGAUCAGAGGACAGUUCAAGCUUCUGAGGUUGCAGGGUGCAUAAUUGAGUGUUUUCUCACUUCUUAUUUUUGUGGUAAAAGCUAAGGUGAAAAGCGAUAUAAAUGAGGAUGUGCAACCUGGGAGGGGAGCACAAAGCACCUUGAGAAAAGAGAAGAUUUCAAGAGCUACAUUUUGCGUACACUGAUGCAUAAUUGUUACAAUUGGUCAAUUGUACUUGGGAACUAUGGCAAGGUGAAAUCGUUAGCUCCAGAGAAAGAUACAUGAUGCAUUCAUCAUCCUAGUGCUUUAAAUAUUCGGUGUGAAAGAUGUCCCUUUGGAGCUUUUCAGUUUCUGUCUGGGUGGCAUCCAUGUUUUGGCGAGGGAAGGAGCAACUGAUAACUUAAUAUAGCCCUUUCUGCUGAUGUUAUUAUGAUGUUUUCAGCUACUCUAGCCUAUUAACACAAUGAAUGAUAAGGUGAGUCUAUGAUGUUUCUAAAUUCGUGUCUGACUAGCAACUUUGAGAUUGAUAUCAAAUCAAGAAUGAGAUGAGACCUUCAUCUAGCAGUAUUGUUUGUUUAAUUAUUAAAUUAUAAAGGUUAUGAAUAAAUAUCCAAUAUGCUAUCCCUACAAGGAUAUACAUCUUGCAUCAUGAGCUAAAUCUUUUGUUCAUAUCCUUCUAGAUUAAUCUGCUUUUGAAGGCAUAUUUUUAACCAGUCAAUUUGCAUAAUAAAAAGGUGGGAAAUGAAUGGCAAUAUCAUGCAGCAACUACGACAAAUAUUCCCUGAGUAUUUUUACUCCUACUUGCAACAUUACUCACUUUAGUCUUUUAUUUGAAUGGAUUUACUUCUAAAAAAACAAUAGUAAGAGGUUUGUUGUUGCUGAACAAUGCUACAGACUUGUUCCUUCACUCACAGUUAAAUGAUUUUGUAUAUAUUAUGAGAAGUGCCAAUGAUUUGGUGUGAUAAUACAUUUCUUGGAGUCUCAAAGUUGGUUGAGAAGAGCAUGCCUCAAGGACUGUGUAUGUUCCCCUGUAGACUGAGCGUUGCCAAUUGUGUUACUCAGAUGAUACUUUUUAUUAGGGUUCUUUUAUUAAGGAGUUCAGUUGGCACCAUUUUUCUGGUUGCACAAUUCAAGUGUAGGUAAGAGUAAAAUGGGAAUAUCUUUUACUGCUGCUACGAGCAUUUUAUCAACAUUUUUAUUAAGGAUCAGUUGGCACCA